rnacentral:rRNA from 1 species
ACUGCAGGCUGCAACUCGCCUGCACGAAGUCGGAAUUGCUAGUAAUCGUAGGUCAGCAUACUACGGUGAAUACGUUCCCGGGCCUUGUACACACCGCCCGUCAAACCAUGAGAGUUGGCAACACCGAAGUCGGUAGUCUAACCGCAAGGAGGACGCCGCCGAAGGUGGGGUUGAUGAUUAGGGUUAAGUCGUAACAAGGUAGC